CCUACGGGUGGCAGCAGUGGGGAAUAUUGCACAAUGGGGGAAACCCUGAUGCAGCGACGCCGCGUGAGUGAAGAAGUAUUUCGGUAUGUAAAGCUCUAUCAGCAGGGAAGAAAAUGACGGUACGUGAUUAAGAAGCCCCGGCUGACUACGUGCCAGCAGCCGCGGGAAUACGUAGGGGGCAAGCGUUCUCCGGAUUUACUGGGGGUAAAGGGGGCGUAGUCGGCUGCACAAGUCUGGAGUGAAAUGCCGGGGCUUAACCGGGGAUGGUCGUUGGAAACUGGGCAGCUUGAGUGCAGGAGAGGGGAGUGGAAUGCCAGGUGUAGCGGUGAAAUGCGUAGAUAUAAGGAGGAACACCAGUGGCGAAGGCGGCUUUCUGGACUGUAACUGACGCUGAGGCUCGAAAGCGUGGGGAGCAAACAGGAUUAGAUACCCGAGUAGUC
rnacentral:rRNA from 1 species